AUGGCCCAAUGAUUGGAAAUGGCUCCUUUAAACUGUCAUUCUUAUUUCCAGGUAUAAAAGAAGGAUUUUAUCUGGGUCCACCACCGAAAGAUAAGCUUCCCAAGAAUUCUACACAAGGUUCUGUAUUGUUAGGGGCAAUUUCGUAUGGAAAACUGUCAUUUUCAGAGGGGGAGAAUAAAAAUCCAGAAAAGCAUCAUGCAUCAUAUCAACUAAUAAUACACAAGGUUCUGUAUUGUUAGUGAUUAAAUGUUUGUUCUAAACCCUGCUGCUGCUAUUUUUUAAUUUAUGAGUAUGCUAUUUUUGAAUUUUUGUUGUUAGAUUUAUUGAUUUCAGAGUUCAGGGUGAUUCAUGAAAUUGAGAAUUGGAUUGUUGGUACUUCUCUAUAUGUAUACUUGUUCUAUGUCUUGGUGUUGAGUCUCACAAAUAUUCUCAAUUACUUACAGCUAUGAUUUCCUUCUUGAAUGAGAUUUUAUUUUUCCAAAAGAAAUCAUAGAAGAUUAGAGUUGUGGAUUUUUUAAUUGAGUGAUGAGUGUAAAGUUGAAUUUGAUGAUGACAAAAGUGCUUGGAAACAUAUAUUUUAAGAGUGUUUUAAA